GGCCCUAUGGGGUGCAGCAGGCGCGAAAACUCUACAAUACACGAAAGUGUGAUAGGGGAAUCCUAAGUGCUUAUGCUAUGCAUAGGCUUUUUUCAAGGGUAAAUACCUUGAAGAAUAAGUGGUGGGUAAGACUGGUGCCAGCCGCCGCGGUAACACCAGCGCCACGAGUGGGGAUCAUGAUUAUUGGGCCUAAAGCGUUCGUAGCCUGUCCGAGCAAUCUCUUGUGAAAUCGACCAGCUCAACUGGUCGGCGUGCAGGGGACACUGCCGGGCUUGGGACUGGUAGGAGUCAGAGGUAUGGCCAGGGGAGCAGUAAAAUGCGAUAAUCCUGGUUAGACCACCGAUGGCGAAGGCAUCUGACUAGAACAGAUCCGACGGUGAGGGAUGAAAGCUAGGGGCGCGAUCCGGAUUAGAUACCCGAGUAGUCCUAGCUGUAAACGCUGCGAGCCAGGUGUUGCGUAUUCUUCGAGAAUGCGCAGUAUCGGAACGAAGGUGUUAAGCUCGCCGCCUGGGGAGUACGGUCGCAAGGCUGAAACUUAAAGGAAUUGGCGGGGGAGCAC
rnacentral:rRNA from 1 species